UUGAACGCUGGCGGAAUGCUUUACACAUGCAAGUCGAGCGGCAGCGCGGGGGCAACCCUGGCGGCGAGCGGCGAACGGGUGAGUAAUGUAUCGGAACGUACCCUGUCGUGGGGGAUAACACAGCGAAAGCUGUGCUAAUACCGCAUACGACCUGAGGGUGAAAGCGGGGGAUCGCAAGACCUCGCGCGGACGGAGCGGCCGAUGGCAGAUUAGGUAGUUGGUGGGAUAAAAGCUUACCAAGCCGACGAUCUGUAGCUGGUCUGAGAGGACGACCAGCCACACUGGGACUGAGACACGGCCCAGACUCCUACGGGAGGCAGCAGUGGGGAAUUUUGGACAAUGGGCGAAAGCCUGAUCCAGCCAUGCCGCGUGCAGGAUGAAGGCCUUCGGGUUGUAAACUGCUUUUGUACGGAACGAAAAAGUCUUCUCUAAUACAGGGGGCGAAUGACGGUACCGUAAGAAUAAGCACCGGCUAACUACGU
rnacentral:rRNA from 1 species